rnacentral:rRNA from 1 species
GGGAAUAUUGGACAAUGGGGGGAACCCUGAUCCAGCCAUGCCGCGUGUGUGAAGAAGGCCUUAUGGUUGUAAAGCACUUUAAGCGAGGAGGAGGCUCUUCUAGUUAAUACCUAGGAUGAGUGGACGUUACUCGCAGAAUAAGCACCGGCUAACUCUGUGCCAGCAGCCGCGGUAAUACAGAGGGUGCGAGCGUUAAUCGGAUUUACUGGGCGUAAAGCGUGCGUAGGCGGCUUUUUAAGUCGGAUGUGAAAUCCCCGAGCUUAACUUGGGAAUUGCAUUCGAUACUGGGAAGCUAGAGUAUGGGAGAGGAUGGUAGAAUUCCAGGUGUAGCGGUGAAAUGCGUAGAGAUCUGGAGGAAUACCGAUGGCGAAGGCAGCCAUCUGGCCUAAUACUGACGCUGAGGUACGAAAGCAUGGGGAGCAAACAG